UGAGAUGUUCAAAGGUGGAGCCAAUUUUGUGAAUUCUGGAUACACCAAGGGUGAUGGACUUGGAGCUGAGAUUGUUGGCACUUUUGUUCUUGUCUACACCGUUUUCUCUGCCACUGAUGCCAAGAGAAACGCUAGAGACUCACACGUUCCUGUAUGCUAUACUCUUUCCUUUUCCCCACUACAAUAUUGCAUUCAUUCCAUUAAUUUGGCUUAUAAAUGAGUAUAUAUUCUGACUUUGUUAUUAAUGUGGUUAAUUUAUGAUGGUAUGAUAUAAUAAUUGUAGAUUUUGGCUCCACUUCCCAUCGGAUUUGCUGUGUUCUUGGUCCACUUGGCUACCAUUCCCAUCACAGGAACUGGCAUUAACCCAGCUAGGAGUCUCGGAGCUGCCAUCAUCUACAACAGAGACCAUGCAUG
rnacentral:lncRNA from 1 species